CCUACGGGUGGCAGCAGUGAGGAAUAUUGGUCAAUGGUCGGGAGACUGAACCAGCCAAGCCGCGUGAGGGAGGAAGGUACAGAGUAUCGUAAACCUCUUUUGUCAGGGCACAAAAGCGGGGAAGUGUCCCCGGAUGAGUGUACCUGAAGAAAAAGCAUCGGCUAACUCCGUGCCAGCAGCCGCGGUAAUACGGAGGAUGCGAUUGUUAUCCGGAGUUAUUGGGUUUAAAGGGUACGCAGGCGGUCUGUUAAGUUAGCCGGCAAAGCCCGGGGCUCAAACCCGGCCCGGCUGUUGAAACUGGCAGUCUCGAGUUGGAGAGAGGUAUGCGGAAUGCGCGGUGUAGCGGUGAAAUGCAUAGAUAUAGCGCAGAACUCCGAUUGCGAAGGCAGCAUGCCGGCUCCACACUGACGCUGAGGCACGAAAGCGUGGGUAUCGAACAGGAUUAGAUACCCGUGUAGUC
rnacentral:rRNA from 1 species